rnacentral:tRNA from 1 species
GGCUCUGUAGCUCAGGGAUAGAGCGCCGCUCUCAUGAGGCGGAGGUCGAGGGUUUAAAUCCCUCCAGAGCCA